GAUGAACGCUGGCGGCGUGCCCAACACAUGCAAGUCGAACGAUGCUUGACGGAUGAUUUCCUCCGAGUGAGACCUUGAUAUGACUUAAUGGCGGACGGGUGAGUAUGACGUGAGCCGCCUGCCUUUCAUAGGGGGAUAACGGCUGGACCCGGUCGCUAAGACCGCAUGAUGUGUUCGGAUGGCAUCGUCUGAUCGUCCCAGAUUUAUCGCUGACUGAUGGGCUCGCGUCUGAUUAUAUAGUUGGGGGGGUAACGGCCUACCAUGUCUGCCAUACCUAACCGGACUGACAGGUUGAACGGCCCCGUUGGGACUGACAUACUGCCCAGACUCCUACGGGAGGCAACUCUGCGGAAUAGUGCGCAAUGGGGGAAACCCUGAUGCACCAGCGCCACGAGAGUGAUGACAGCUUUCGGAUUGGAUGCUUCUUUUCUUAGUGACUAAGACUGUGACGGUCGCUCUGGAAUAGUCAUCUGCUAACUACGUGCCGCCAGCCGCGGGACUACGUACGAUGCAAGCGUUAUCCCGAUUUACUGGGUGUAAAGGGAUGCGCAGGCGGUUUGAUAGUCUGAAGUUAAGGCUGUGGCUCAACUAUAGUUCGCUUUGGAAACUGUCAAACUUGAGUGCAGAAGGGGAGAGUGGAAUUCCAUGUGUAGCGGUGAAAUGCGUAGAUAUAUGGAGGAACACCGGUGGCGAAAGCGGCUCUCUGGUCUGUAACUGACGCUGAGGCUCGAAAGCGUGGGGAGCGAACAGGAUUAGAUACCCUGGUAGUCCACGCCGUAAACGAUGAGUGCUAGGUGUUGGAUCCUUUCCGGGAUUCAGUGCCGCAGCUAACGCAUUAAGCACUCCGCCUGGGGAGUACGACCGCAAGGUUGAAACUCAAAGGAAUUGACGGGGGCCCGCACAAGCGGUGGAGCAUGUGGUUUAAUUCGAAGCAACGCGAAGAACCUUACCAGGUCUUGACAUCCCGAUGCUAUUUCUAGAGAUAGAAAGUUACUUCGGUACAUCGGUGACAGGUGGUGCAUGGUUGUCGUCAGCUCGUGUCGUGAGAUGUUGGGUUAAGUCCCGCAACGAGCGCAACCCCUAUUGUUAGUUGCCAUCAUUCAGUUGGGCACUCUAGCGAGACUGCCGGUAAUAAACCGGAGGAAGGUGGGGAUGACGUCAAAUCAUCAUGCCCCUUAUGACCUGGGCUACACACGUGCUACAAUGGUUGGUACAACGAGUUGCGAGUCGGUGACGGCGAGCUAAUCUCUUAAAGCCAAUCUCAGUUCGGACUGUAGGCUGCAACUCGCCUACAUGAAGUCGGAAUCGCUAGUAAUCGCGGAUCAGCACGCCGCGGUGAAUACGUUCCCGGGCCU
rnacentral:rRNA from 1 species